AAAUAAAAAGUGUUAAUUUCAGCAGCAUAUUGGAAAGAUAUAGAGAUUAGCAUGGCCCCUGUGCAAGGAUGACAGGCAAAUUCAUGAGGCGUUCCAUCUAUUU
ensembl:snRNA U6 U6 spliceosomal RNA